rnacentral:misc_RNA from 1 species
UGGCUCUCGCAUCGAUGAAGAACGCAGCGAAAUGCGAUAAGUAAUGUGAAUUGCAGAAUUCAGUGAAUCAUCGAAUCUUUGAACGCAAAUUGCGCCCUUUGGUAUUCCGAAGGGCAUGCCUGUUUGAGUGUCAUAUAGACUUCAUCUACUCGGGUUUCCGAGCAAGGUGCUUUGGGUGCUUGCCCGGCCAUCAGGUCGGGCUCACCUCAAAUGUCUAAGUGGAAUGCGUAAUAAGCUUUUCGUAACCUCCACUCUAAUAUCACACUUUAGCUCUGACCUCAAAUCAGGUAGGACUACCCGCUGA